GACGAACGCUGGCGGCGUGCCUAACACAUGCAAGUCGAGCGAACAGAUCAGGAGCUUGCUCCCCUGACUUUAUAGGCGGUCGGGUGAGUAACACGUGGAUAACCUACCUAUCAGACUGGGAUAACUUCGGGAAACCGGAUCCAAUACCGGAAAAUUUAUUGAACCGCAUGGUUCACUAGUUAAAUACGGUUUUGCUUACACUUAUAGACGGAUCCGCGCCGCAUUAGCUUGGUGGUAAGGUAACGGCUUACCAACGCAACGAUGCGGACCCGACCCGAACGGGUGGACGCCCACACUGGCACAGAGAAACGGUACAGACUCCGGGAGGGGGCAGCAGUAGAGAAUCUUCCGCAAUGGGCGAGAGCCUAACGGAGCAACGCCGCGUGAGUGAUGAUGGUCUUCUGCUCGUAGAGCGAUGUUAUUAGGGAAGAAGAAAUGUGUAAGUAACUGUGAUCGUCUUGACGGUACCGAAUCAGAAAGCCACGGCUAACUACGUG
rnacentral:rRNA from 1 species